rnacentral:lncRNA from 1 species
CGUGGGCCCCCAACUGACUAAGAAGAUGUAGGGCUAUGAACCCUUACUUUCUAGGAUGCAACUCCGAGAUUAAUUCUCGUCUUAAUCAACUAUCAACAAAUUGUCCUGAGCUUGAAAAAUGGAUAGGAAGAGGGGUGAGAUUAUGAUUACAUAAUUCCAGUGAGUAAACAAUUACAAAUCAAAAGAAUCUAAAGCCGAGCAGAUGGAGACAAUAUAAAAACGUUAUAUCUCAAUAAUGUUCAUAACACAAAAUUCGUUUCAAUCUAUACCAAACAAUUUCUUUUCAUCAAAAUUUCUCGGCUUAUGAAUUUCUUAAACUUAGCCCCUGCCAGAAUCAUUCUCGCAGGUACCUUCGUCAAGGUAUCCCACUGAGACCACCAAGGCUGUUCAAUGACCCAUACCCAUAAACAUGUUUUCACAUCUAACACACAGCCGUUCCUUGGCGUUAGCUGAGUCUCACUCUCACGUGGUGGCCCGAACAUGAGGUGCACUCAAAUCAUACCUCAGGAGAUACUUCACCCAACAUUUCCCCCUAGAGGUAAGUAUAUAAUUGGGUUACCAUGCCCCUCUCAUAGGCAGUCCACGAAAACCCCCACCACUGUAGUGAUUGUUUAAUAUACCACCAGACCCAUAAAAUUUCCAAUAGCAUAAUAUGGCGAAUAAAAUUUAAUCUAGUCUAUCGAGACCAAUCCAAAACUGUUCAUAUAUUUCAUGCCAACCCCAAAAAUUUAGCCAUCAUGCUACCAUAGUGUCAUAAGCCCCAAUUUCAAUAACAUAUAAAAUCAUAAAUUUCAACACAGUCUCCAUAUACUCAAUUUUCUCAAAACAAUAUUUGAUUUCAAAACUAAUAUAAAUCUCAUUUUUAUUAAAAAACAUUGUAAUUGAAAAACAUAAUAUUUUAUAAUUUAAACUCACCAUUCAAUAAAAGCAUCAAAUAAGUAUAAUUACUCUAGAUAUUUAAGAUGAUAAGUUGUCCACUCACAAUUCUAGGAGUAGAAAUACUCCUAUUUUCAGUCCGCUAGUACAGUCCUUUACCCGUAUCCAAUGGCUCACCACCUGCCAUAAUCCAUGACACAUAUUUCAAUUAAAUUAUGUCUAACAGUCAUAAGCUAUUUCAGGCUCGAUGUAUAUGCAUGAUAUGAUAUGCAACUUAUCCGACUACUGCUUAAAUGCGGUAUUGACAUAAUUCGGUCUAUUACCCGAUUAAAUCGAUAUACGCGUCCGUUUAAACUCCAAAUUAAUUUUUUUCAGUUACUAUACCUCAAUUGCACCCAAAUUGACUUAAUGUCCCUCAGUGUGGUGCAAAUUAUCAGUCUCAAUAGUAAAUUACGAAAAUACCCCUAGUGGGUAAAAAUUCAUAUUUUUGCUCCGAAAAUUUCCAUUAUUUUUCUAGGCUCAUAAUUCAUCAUUAUUCAUCAUAAUUCCUCAAAUAAGUAUCAAGAUCAGUAGCCAAUAUUCCCCUAGAAAAUUCGGCCAAUAAUGGUAAUGGAGGAAAAUGAAUUCUUUUCUUGUUGUUUUGUUUCUAAAUAUGCUAAACUAACUUAAAACACUAACAUAACUUAAAAUCAAAUUAAUCUAACUUCAUUCUCUCUCCAUACCUAUUUGGGCAGCCAUGAAUUCACCAUGAAAACAUGAAAUCUAACCAUGGAAAAUGAGGAGAAAUGCAUGGGAAAGGUAGAUCACAAGUCAAAAUCAAGAAAUUUUACCUUUUGUCACUUGUUUCCUUGAAUUUUUACCAAUUUUCCCUUGAAUUUCUUUCCACCUAGGGUUUGUUCUUCCUUUCCCCUUUGUUUUCUUGCUAUGGCCGGCCAUAAUGAAGAGAAAAUGGUGGUGUGGGCUGAUUUUUAUAGUUAAAUAAUAUAAUAAUCUAAACUUGCCAUAUGUCACUACAUUAUUGGUCUAUUUUUUAAAUUCUUAUCUUUUAAGCUUUAAAUCUCCACCACACAUUAUUCAAGGGUCAAAAAUGAUGAUGGGUGAAGACCUUGUGCUGGAAAAAUGUUUUGGGGGUGCAAAAUUACCAUUUUGCCCCCGGGUGGUAAAAUUACCAUUUCGCCCAUAUACUUAAAAUUAUACCGAAAUUAAAAAUUUUCACUUCUAAACCUCAAAUCAUACUCUAAUAAGUCAAAUGGGGCCAAAAAAAUCUUUUCUAAAAAUUUCCAUUUUGUCUCCAAGUGGCAAAUGACCAUUUUGCCCCUAGAUAGUGAAAAUUUCGGUUUGACUCCAAUUGAUCCUCGAACUCCAAAUCACUAUUUUAAGUCAUCACUAGACCAUGAAACUCUUAAUUUCACCUUAAAAUUUCUAUUUGAACUAGUUCGAGGCUUAAUCGACUUAAUGAUACCAUUAGGGGUAAUAUCGUCUUUCAAUGAUUUUCUCAAACUUCCUAAAUAUGUAACCAUUCUAUUGAGCAUGUAAAUGAUGUCGUAAUUCUUUUAUAAAAUAGGGUUUGACAAUACUACCCCCCUUAAAAUAAAAUUUUGUCCUCAAAAUUUCACUUAUCAAGCUCAAAGAAAAGGUGGGGUAUUAUCUUUUUAUUCGAUGCUCGACUUCUUCUGUUAUCUCCUUUAUUGGGAAUCUUAAUUCACUAAAAAUCAUUCUUCAUUUUAGUUGAUCACAAUAUCAACCCCACAUAUGUGUAUAUGCCUUAUAAUCCCAUUUAUGCAUCCAAGAUCUAUCUUGAUUUAAUCAUCGCAUACGAUGCAAUAUCACAAUUCCUUAAAGUCAUCCCUUUGUCCUCAAUCAUCUUUCAUGCCUCUAUAUUGCUUUGUAUCCCAUCCUCAUACUUAUGUGACAUGUCAGUCAUGAGUCUAACUUGACUGUAUAGCCAUUUGCUCCUUAAGCUUUAAUGUUUUCUCAUUGCGAAAAGUCUUUCGAAUUUAUCACAUCAGAAUAUUCAUAAGGUGGAUACAUAUCCAUAUUUUAUAGUUCAAGGUCUAACGCAGCGACCACUGUCUCAUCAUUAAAGUUCUACCCUUAUUUAUCGAUCAUAGCUCCCUUGCACACUUACUAUACAUUCUUGGGUUACUUACAAGCCACUCAUGGCCAUCCAACUUUUGCCCUCUUAUAGUAAGUCAAACUAAUAUAUUCUCUUAUACUUUUCCAUACGCUUCCUUAAUAAAGUUCCACCCUUUCAUACGAAUAUAACAUCAUUCUUCCUUAACCAAUUUAAAAAUUGUACUUGAAAUUGCAAGACUUAAAACUAGAUUCUCCUUAAGUACUUUUCAAUAUUGAUACUAAUAUCACUCUCAGCUUAUAGCUUCCUUUUUAUAAUCACAUAACUUAGUGCUUGCUUUUACAAGAUCCACAUCAGAACUUCUCUUGAGUAUUUUCUUAGGGAUAUCUAUCUUAAACUUAUGUCUCACAACAUGUGAUCACUUAACCAGUAACUUAGCCAUUUAUGUGGCAUUCUCUUCGGGGCCCACCCAUGUGGCCUCCCCAUCCGGGGCCCAUUCCAAGGUAUUGUUAUAUCUGUAUUGAUCCCCUUGGCUUCCUGGCCCUACAGGACCGUAUACACCAAGUAUCGAACCCCAGACCUUUUACUUCCCCCGAAGGGAACGCCUUUAACCAUUUCAGCUUUAACUCAUUCAUAUCGAUACCUUCCUAAACCUUAAAACUCAAAUUACCAAAACUCAGAAUCAAGUUUAAUGACCUUAGGUCAACUCGUGAAUUCAACUUCACAUCUGUCUCAUUUUAUUCAUGCGUCCUAGACAUGAAGUGCUCUUAUCACCGCUGCACGGUGGCUAUUGGAGUUUACUUGAUCAAUGUUAUUCAUCUAUAUUUAAGGUUACUACACUAAUCAUUCUCAACUAUUUGGUUUCCCUUCAAGCUUACGUCACAAUUUCCGUAACCAUUUAUAUCCUCUUGUGCUUAUCACAUUUAAUAAGUAAAAUAGAUAUUUUCAAAUUCAUCUCAUCCUAUUCAAUCUAACCUGACUUAACCUAACUCGGGGCCACGCAGUGUUAGUGUGGAUUUCUUAAAACAACUUUAAAAUCCAAAACUUUAAAAUCCAAAGCUUUAAAAUCAAAAUCUUUGAUCUUUAAACCAUGCUCUGGUACCACUUUAAUUGUCACAACCCGAAACACCAAUCGGGCCCGUGACAACCGCCGUGACGUCCCGAUAGACACUCAUUAUCCGAAAUGCCGAUCGAAACCCCGCAAGGCUUAGCAUCAGCUUCCGCAUCUCCCCGGUGAGCGACAAUUAUUAAAUCUCGUAUUUCAAGAAAUCAUAAGUCGUUUCCAAAUCAAAACAAUAUAAUAUUUUUUUUCUAGCUCAUAGGGGCAUUUUCGUUUUUUUUUUUUUAAAAUACCAAAACCCGCCAAAAACAUGGUGUGUGGGUGAAAAACACAUGUUUCAUAAUUAAAAGUAAAUUUAGAUGUCUAAAAUAAUUAUUUGAAAUGAAAUUAUAAUUGUUUGAAUAAAAUAAUAAUAUUUAAUAAAAUAUUAUAUUUUCUAAAUAAAUAAAAAAAUAUAAUAUUUAUAGAGAAAUUCGUAAUUUAAUUUUUUUAGUGUAAAAGCUAAAUAUAUUCAUACGUACUUUAAAGCAGAUAAUUGAAGUAUAAAAUUACUUUUACAGUUACACGUGGACCCUCAACUGAUUAAGAAGAUGUAGGGCUACGAACCCUUACUUUCUAGGAUGCAACUUCGAGAUUAAUUCUCGUCUUAAUCAACUAUCAACAAAUUGUCCUGAGCUUGAAAAAUGGAUAGAAAUAGGGGUGAGAUUAUGAUUACAUAAUCCCAGUAAGUAAACAAUUACCAUCAAAGCAUCUAAAGUCGAGUAGAUGGAGACAACAUAAAAACGUUAUAUCUCAAUAAUGUUCACAACACAAAAUUCAUUUCAAUCUAUACCAAACAAUUUCUUUUCAUCAAAAUUUCUCGGCUUAUGAAUUUCUUAAACUUGGCCCCUACUAGAAUCAUUCUCGCAGGUACCUUCGUCAAGGUAUCCCACUGAGACCGCCAAGGCUGUUCAAUGACCCAUACCCAUAAACAUCUUUUCACAUCUAACACACAGCCGUUCCUUGGCGUUGGCUGAGUCUCACUCUCACGUUGUGGCUCAAACGUGAGGUGCACUCAAAUCAUACCUCAUGAGAUACUUCACCCAACAUCUCCCCCUAAAGGUAAGUAUAUAAUUGGGUUACCGUGCCCCUCUCAUAGGCAAUCCACGGAAACCCCC